CCUACCACGUUUUAUCUCUCUGGUAGAAGGAAUUGCUUUAUUUAUGACUAAAAACCCCUACAGAUGAAGGAACACAUGAAGUAUUUCACUAACCCUAUUUGAUAACUCGAUUACAGCCAGAGAAGCUGCUCAGCUGCAGUAGCACAAGGGACCAGGGAGCUGCCCUAUGAACACACCUCAGCGCCACGUGGGAAAGCACCGCCCGGACACAGUUUGGAAACCCAGCAGUGUUUCAGCACAGCCAGGCCCUGCCGAGGAGGACAGGAACAUACCUGCUUGCCUUCGGGGAGGAGGUUGAGCGUGCCGUACACCGCCACGCUGCUCUCCGUGGACAGCACCAGCCCGUUGUAACACUGGCACUGCGGGGAAGGACACACAGCCAGGCACAGAUGCGUGGCUAACUGGAAAUCCCUACAACCACCAGCAGCCUGUGGUGCUGACUGGGAGCAGACUGGGAAUGGACACCAGGAAUGGACACCCAGGAACACGUGAGGAGAACCCACGGGACGUGACAGAGGAAUGAAAAGCAGAGGUGUCCCAGGGCACAGCACCGGAGAACUCCCGCACCCCCGGUCCCUGAUGAGCGCCGCGUUCUUCACCCCGACAAGCACCGGGACACAGAGAGGAAGAGAUGAGCUGAUUUAGUCCUGAGUGCUCGAGCCCCUCAUUCCUUCCCAGGUUCCCAUUUGGAAUUCCAGCUGGAAGAGUGAGUGUCUUAACUCCCCGUGUGCUUGAGGAAGGAAAAAUGAGUGUCAUUCACAGCCUGGGUGGAUGGAACUGCUUCCUCUUCGGAGCCUGAAUUUGCCCCGGGAGCAUGAACCACGCAAAUCCCUCCUCUUUCAGGGGUCUGAAGGUCACAUUUUGGGGAUCCCUGCUGCUCCUCCUUCAGGCACAAGCAGGUGGGGCUGUGACUUUGACCUGCCUGGAGUUCUGAGAGAAGCAAACACCCGAGGUCCUCUGAAUUGGAGGUAAACAAGGGAAUUCUUUAGGAAGAUGACAUUAAAAGCAGAGCCAGCCCUAAGAAUGUAUCUCCUCCUUAAUGGCAGCUGACAUCACUGCAAGGAGGGCUGGGUUAUCAAAUUAUCUCUCCUGGCUUCAGCUUCCAUGAGUUUCCCCCUCAAUCUCCACAUUUCUCCCAGGAGUACCCCUGUGCUCUGCAUUCCUGAGUAGAUGGGAGUGGAUGGGAAUGGCCUUUUUGGGCCUGGACAGUCUGACCUCUCUGCCUGUUAUCCCUGCUGUUUUGUGGGGUCCCUGUGCCUGCUGAUAAUCCCAUAAUCCCAGCUGGGCACGAAGAGUGAGGUGGAAGAUGUUAGCAAGCGUGACAGGCUGAGGAGGAUGAGAAAAAGCUGCCCUCGUGCUUCCAAAACCUCCCAGGAGGAAGAGAAGGGCUUGUCCUAACUUGGACAGACCUCCCCAAUGGAGAAGCCAUUCCGUGCCCUGCGGGCACGGGAGGAGAAAGGGUUGUCAGCUGCAACCCAAGUUGUGAAACCCCGACUGCAGGAGAAAUCCCCACCCUGAAAGGAGAGAUAUGCAUGCCUGCCUUGGAAUUCCACGGGGUGGGGUGGCUGUGCUGAUUGCUGCUGGGGGCAGGAGGGACAGAGGGCUUCCAAAGGUUGGGCUUUAAUGUCCCCUUUAAGGUCUGCAGAGAGGGAUUUUAGUUGAUAAUCCUGAGGAGAACGAGCAGCACGGGCAGCGAUCUGGAAACUUCCACCAGCCCUAAAUUCCCAUGCUCCUCUUCCCACGGGCAGGGCUCCAGAGCUCGAGCUGAGCCCUCUCUUCCUUCCUGCCUCCUUCCCCAAAGCGUUGGCUCGGGAUUUUCGCCGUGGCUGUGCCAGCCCAAACUGUUCCUGCGGGAUCCCGGCCACGGAACUGUGCCCUCAGCAAGCACAUUUCGUAGAGUGUCUCACCCUGGCCAUGUGUUGGGGUGGCAGGGGGCCAGCUCUUGAGGGGGCACAGCAGCUGGUGCUAAGAAAGGCCAUAUUUAGCGCCGCAAGUCCCAAAAUCUGCAGCCAAAAGGCCCUUUCACAGGAAGGGGCAGGGCUGCGGUGGCAGCGUCGGGUCUGUCAGGGCUCUGAUUGCCAAAGAGCCCCCCUGUGACGGGCUGGGAGGGGGGAAAAGAGGAUGGGGAGUUGCAAAGGCACUGCUCAGAACCCCAAAUGCUGAAGUGGAUCGUUGGAAAGGUAACUCUGAAGGCCCCACAAGGUCAGGAAAGCCGGUGCGCUUUGGAGGAACUGGGAUACAGGGAAGGGACUGAAGGAGGGGUUACAGGUCAGGAAAAGCACAAAUCUCUGGGCAGAUGAACAGCUGGUAAUUAUCCCCCAUUCACCAUGAUCUAAGAACCAGGAGAAGGCGAAUUAAACAGUUAAAAUUAUAAAGAGACCAGCAGAAGGAGGUCAUUUUUCACACCACAGGAUACCCGGUGAGAGGAGCCUGAAUGUUCACUGCACCAGUCUUUUGGGAUUCUUUCCCUCCCUCAAGGGGUGAGCAGUCCAGGGGGCAUCCGAGAGAGCUGUGAGUCCCUCAGGUGGAACAGGAGGGGCAGCAUUGCUGGGGAGAUGCCCCAGAGAUUAGAGGCAGUGGGACUGUGUGACUCACCCCCGUUCCCAGCCCUGUUCCCAGGGAAGGUGUGCAGAGCUCCCGCGUGGGAGUCCAGCCCCGGAUCCCAUCUCCAGCUCACCCACAGGUGAGUGUCACACUCAGGGGCAAAUUGGAACCACCGUGACUCCAGGAAGGUUUCGGGUUUCUUUUUUAUUUCCCCCUUUCCUCUGUCGUGCUGCUCUGCCCCGGGUUUGUCCACCCAGCAAACCCAGCCAGAACACGAGAUCCAAGGGAAAGCAGCAGCCUGCAGAACAAACCUCGUGGUGUUUGGAUUGCUCACCGAGCUCAGCGAGGUAAAACAUUCUCAGCUUUAUUGCUGAGCAGGAAGAAAAGCCUCUGAGGGGCCGGGGGAGACUCUGGCCUCCCAGGAGUUCCCGGAUUGUCCAAAAACCAGGCACCGGCUACAUCAAAGGCCUCCCAGAACAAUUAGCAGCCCCUUUUCAAAGCCCUUGUGGCACCACACCUCAGAGAUCAGGUCCUGCAAUUCUAUUAGCGCCCUUUAAAUAGCUCCGAAAUGUCGGGUUUUCCCUUUCCUGUGAACUGCCCAUUGCUGACAGAAACACAGAAAUUAUCCCGACUUCCCCAGGGCUCAUUUUUCUCUCCUUGCUCAUGCCUGCAGUGUUACAUUGCCCCUGGGAUCUGAGCCACAAUUAACAAUGCACGUUUUGGGGGAGCUCGAUUCGGCUCGGGUUAUACCCUUGAUGGGUUUUCAAUAAUACACGGCAAGAUGUGUGUUUUUAAAGAGUUAAUCUGCCACCGGUUUUCUGUGCUCAGAACCUUGCUCAGCCCCCAGCCAUCCCAACGCUGCUGAGAACACGGAGCACAACAGCAGCCUGAUAAAAUAUUAACGCUCCCGGUGAAAUUUUUCCAGAAGGAAAGAGAAAAAUCUCUCUGCAGUGAGAAAAAGCUUUUUUUUUUU